GAGGUGCAUGGCUUGGUGGCCAACUAUUUUCAGCCAUGGUUGUUCGCAAACCAGCUCACAGGUUCCUCGACGAGCUCGGCAUCCAAUAUGACGAACAAGAAGACUACGUUGUCAUCAAGCAUGCAGCUUUGUUCACAUCAACAAUCAUGAGCAAGCUUUUAGCAAGGCCUAACGUGAAGUUGUUCAAUGCUGUGGCUGCUGAGGAUCUGAUAGUCAAAGGAAACAGGGUUGCCGGUGUGGUAACGAACUGGGCUUUGGUAUCAAUGAACCACGACACACAAUCCUGCAUGGACCCGAACGUGAUGGAGUCUAAGGUUGUGGUCAGUUCUUGUGGACAUGAUGGACCUUUUGGAGCCACUGGGGUCAAGAGAUUGAAGAGCAUUGGAAUGAUUGACAGCGUCCCUGGAAUGAAGGCACUGGAUAUGAACACGGCAGAGGAUGCAAUCGUUAGGCUCACAAGGGAAAUUGUGC
rnacentral:lncRNA from 1 species